ncrna:rumen bacterium NK4A136 DTF3800-XI RNA
UGGCCUGGUCGAAAGACCCGGGGCCACCCAAAAGCGGGUAAGACACCC